rnacentral:lncRNA from 1 species
CUGGGAACCCACCUCUUCCUGAAAGUCCUCCCCCACUGACUCACCGGCUUGCCCCAAGCUUGUCAAGAAUGUCCCAGUAACCAGGGGACACACACUGAAGUGACUGAGGGGUUACCUUGGAGUUGAUGCCUUGGCUCAGAUCCAGCUCCCCUGUUUUCUUCCUCUGUAACCUUGGGCAACCCAACCCCUCUAAGCCUCGGUGUUCUCAUUUGUGAAGUUGUGGUAAUAAUGGUAGCUUCCUGGUAGAAUUAUUGUAAAUAUUAAAUUAAUCAAAACAUGCAAAGGAAUGGAACAGUGCCUGGCACCUAGGAAGCCUUCAGGAAAUGCUGUCUCUUCCCUGUUGAUAAUCUUGACCCGUACACUGCCUUUGGUUGCCAUUCAUGAACCUGCCACCAAUAGUAACAAAGUGCUGGAUGCACCUUUUGUGCUUAUCUUUGUGCUAAAUGUGCCUGAGGGACGCCUAGGGAAGAGGAUGCAGGUCUUUAAGAGCCAUCAGCUCCAGAUUAUGGCCACCCCAUGUCCAGCACUUAGAAUGGAGGCCAAAACCAUUCCCUCGGAAAUUGUGUUUCCUUGCCAAGAUGGGGACUGCGUGGUUGCCCUUCUCUGAGGGCAGCGCUGGAUUUUUGGCAUCUUUCCUUUCCUGUCCUGGUACUUGGCACCUUGUAGACAGUUGCAUGUCCCCUGCCCAGGGAUGGGAUGAGGAGAGGGCAGGAAGGCAUUUCCUGGGUAGUGGAGUGCUGCGUUCAUUGAGUGUGGGUUCUCCAAGCUGCUGGCACAGCGCAGGGAGGGCCAGAUGCCUCUCAGGAGCCUUGGGCCUGAGUCCUGGCUCCCUCACUCCUGGGUUCCAGGUCAAUGCAUCUGUCUCUCCACCAUGUGCUCCACCUCGUGCUGGACCUUAAGAGAUACCAAUUAUGUGGCUGACACUGUGUCCUAGAGGCUGGAAUGGGAACACAUAGGGCGAGAUUGAUUGUUAAUUGCUAGCAUGAACCGCGUGGGCUUCUCAGGGUCUAGAGUGGAGAGAAAUCGGUAAGAAUUGGUGGCACGCCUGUCAGAACUCCCCAAACCAAGCUAAGCAGAAAUUAACCAAUCAGUAGAGCAGCCUUCGGAGUAAGGGCUAAAAUGAUGUCCUCAGGGCCUGGUUUUGCUUUUCUUCCAUGUCAGUUUGCUUCUUUGGGUCUGGCUGCAUUCCCAGACAGGCCAUGCUGUCGUGGUAGCAAGGUGACACGACACAGGGUCAGGUCCAGCAGGAAAGAAUGCUCUCCUGUGUCCCCACUUCCUCCAGAAGCCACACUCACCCAUCCCACCUGGCUUGGUCCUCAUGUCUAUCCCAGAAUCCAUUAAUGGGGCCAGGGGACUAUGACACAACCACUUGGCUUAGACUGAGGAGCUCUGUGGGCAGCCCCACCUGAAGCUCUGGGACUAAGCCUGCGAGAGAGAUGGAUUCCCCAAGGGAAAUGGGGCCAUUGCUUGAGUAAAAAGGAAAUAGUUGCUGAAGAGUAAAACCACUUGCUUACUCCACAUAGGGCAGACUCCUGGAAGAGGGGGGCAGGGUAGGGAGGUGGAUAUGCAGGUUGCCCUGGUGGGGUCUGGAAAUGGGGGCUGCAGGCUUGGAGGGAGGCCUCAGUGUGGCUUGGAACGUGGUGUAUGGUGGUCUGCCGCGAAGGCCGGCCUGCACAGGGGUGGGAGGGGGGAGCUUCUGCAUGGGAAGCACAGACAGCGCUGCCUCUCCCUUGCACUCAGCUCUCGGGGCAUGAGAGGCUGACUUUCCGUGAGCCUGUGGGCCAGGCCUCUUUGAAUGGGGCUGAGGGAGCUUUGCCCUGGUUCCUUUGUGUCCCCACGGUGCCACGGGAGGCUCCCUGGCAGGGUGUGGGGCAAGGCAGUGAGUGAAGAGUUGGGAUGAGUGAGUUAGGGCCCACGGAUUACUCAAGACAGGACUUCACGUUGAUUCAGGAGCGUUAGGGAGCUGUGAUUGGAUUUUGAGCAGGGCAGGGAUGGGACAGAAGAGUUUGGGGAAGGUUCCUCAGGCAUCCGUCACGGAAGGGAUAAGAAGGGAGAGAGAGUGGAUGCCGGGGACACCCAGAAGCUGUUAUUGUAGUCAGGAUGCGACAGGGGUGAGGCUGCAGACAGGGGACUUGCAAGCAGGGAGGGCAGGGUGAGACAUUCAGAGGAAACGACGACAGGAAAUGGUGACAGAUAGGGAACGAGGAUGAAGGGAAGGGAGAGCCAGUGACGACUGGCAGUGGAGUGGGGAGCACCGCCACCUCUCCUCCUCCACUUGCCCCUCCUGUGGCACUGGACAAGCUAGUGGGCUUUUCGUUGUCCAUGGGCUUUUUUGGUGGGGAUGUGACCAGCUUUGAACCCUUCCCCUUAAACAUGCUCCUCCUGCACGGAAGAGACAGGGGCAGGGGAGAGACUCUCUCCCCACCACGCAGCUCAGGCCCCAGUACAGCCCGGCCUCUGGCCUCACUGGCGUCUGUGCCCAGUGACGCAGGCAUGUGAGCUCCUGGCAAAUUAGCAUUGCAGGCUGUGCUCUCUCCUCCGGCUCUGCUGCAGCUGGGAGUGUGCAGAGACUGGAGGGGAUGACAGUCACCCCUCUGUUUUCUGUGGUGGCUCUGUUUUCUGUGGUGCUGGAUGCACCUCUGCUUUCUGUGGUGGCUCCAAGAGAGUGCACGGUCCCUGCUGAUUGAAAGAAGGAUGAAGGGCAGAAGAGGGGCGGGGAGCUGUGUACCCUAAGAUCUCAUUGCCUUUUUAUGCCGAUUAACAUGCUUUUAGCCCCUACUGAGCUUAUAGUUAACAGAAGUUUCCAGGUCUUUCUUCACCUGAACUGUGUCUAAAGCAAGUUCCCUCCACCUUCUGUAUUUAUACGCUUGAUUUUUAAAACCUAAAUGUUGGGCUUCACAUUUGUUCCUUGUAAAUUUCAUCUUGGUGAUUGCAGUCUACCCUAUGGCCUUUAAAAAUUGUCUGAGCCUUGAUUCGAUCAUGAAACCAACUUACCCUUCCCCUGUGUGCUGGCCCCAGUUUUCUAACCAGGUGUUGAAUGAACUGGAUGGACUCUGCCAGAUCCCUCCGUGCAAGGCUGGAAUCAGUCCAUUGUUCAACUGUGCCCUUUGGGGCUGUGGUUCAUUUGGCUCUGAGUUUUCCUAUAUGUUCUGUCCUCCAACCCCCAUAGCUCCAUCUUGUCUACAAGAUUUUGUUAGAAGCCGUCAAAAUCCUGCUGACUCGAGAUGCACUGUGCUGCAUGUUUUCCCCGGGCACAGCAGGCUAAUAAUCCUGUUACAAAGAGAAAUGCUGUACAUUUCGAGCAGUGCUGGCCCCUGGGACUCACCGCGGCCUUUUCUAAGUGCUUACAGACUCUCUGUUUAAUAAUCCAUUCCAGAAAUUUUCCAGGGCUCAUUGUUGAGCUUGGUGUUCGCAACUUUGAGUGAUCAGCCCUUCUCCUUUGUGGGAGCACCAGGACAGAGCAGCCUUUGUCCCUCCCCAGUCUCAGUUCCCUCCCACUGCCCCUGUGGACCUCGAAUGCAGAGCUUAUGCACCUACCGAAGGUCGUGUCAGCACCCAAGGCAGAACGAGGCUGCCCUGGGAACUAGGGUCAAUUAAGACAGCUUGUGCUGGAGGACCCUUUACAGCAGAUGAAGGCCUCUCCCCAGCCAGAAAAGAUGGAGCACACGCUGGGUGGUGGCCCCGCUUCCUCACUGGAAGGAGAUGGUGCUCUUCUUUUUUCUUUCUGAAUUGUGGCCACCUUCAUACCAGUCUGUCAUGGAACACUUAAGCCGCUUGAGUGCCUGCUGGUACUCCCAGCCCUGCCAUGCCUGAGCCCCCUGCACACAAGGAGCCAGGAGUAAUCAGGGCAGACCCAUUAGGGCGCGGGGACUUCUGGAUUGUGAAAUUGGCUCUCUGGGGGCCAAGGCCUUCUAACGUUGGUGGAAGUGGCUUUGGCUUAUUGGGUCGGAUUCUAGGCCAUUCAUUCCAACCUUUAGAGACAUCCCAGCUUUCCCUAGCCCAGAGUCUGCAGCCCCUCCACCAUCCCACAUCCUCCCCCUCCCUUUCCUCAUGAACCCCAGUCGCGCCUCUGCCUUCUCAAACCCCUCCACCAUCCCACACCCUCCUCCUGCCCUUCCUCAUGAACCCCAGUCGCGCCUCUGCCUUCUCAUCCCUGCGCACCACACAGGCUCGCUCGUGCCCGGUGAAUGCUGAGGCUGCUCUGCACAUGGAGUGUGGCCCUGUGGGCAAGGGCUGGGCUCUUGGAGGUAGGGGAGCUACAGGGGCGACUGGGAGGAGGAUGUCGUGUUACACACGCAUCAGAGUUAACUUUGCAGUGAGAGCGGCCUUGCUGCGGCCAAAGAACAUGGAAAAGCAUGAGUGGGGUGAUGUGCCUUAAAGCAUCAGACACUUGGGCCUCGGGCAUCAGGAGCCAGCCACAGGGAUGUCUGGGGAAAUGGCGUUCCAUGAGACGCAAGCACACAAGAAUGCACUUGGCACAUCUGGGGAACAGCAGGCAGCUGAUAUCACUGGGCCCACCCCACACCAGGGAGGAUGGAAGCAGGUGAGGAGCUAGACCACACUGAGGCGGUGGUCGGGACUCGGGGUUUGCUCAGUGAGCCGUUCACUAUGUGCAGGGGCAGUUCCCCGUCUGAAUUUAGGUGACGACACUCAGGUCCAGCCUUGCCAGUCUCAGCCUCCGGUCUCCGUUCCCCCUCUGCAGAGGCCACAUUGUCUGCUGCACGUGAUCAUGAGGGGUUGUGAAGUGCUUGCCCCAUCAGUAGCCAUGUGUGCAUGUGUAAAUACCAUCCUCUGUGUGCCCUGGAGGCUGUCCUUCAGAUAGCAUGUACAGGUGGCAGCAUAGGGCCUGUCCCUACUGAGAGUGCAGGGAACUCAGCACCGUCAACUCCUCGACCCUGCAGGUCAGAUUAUCCUUGUAGAGGCCCCCUGGAUGGCACCAAGAUCGGCCCUGGCAAGUAGGUGACCCUGACUUCAGAGCCCUUGCCUGAGGGCCUGGCCUGGCAGCUCUGCUGUUAGAAGCAGGAGGUGUGCAGAGGGUGGGGAGCAGCCCAGCCUCUGUGAUCUUCUCCAUGGCAGGAUCUCCCAGCAGGUAGAGCAGAGCCGGAGCCAGGUGCAGGCCAUUGGAGAGAAGGUCUCCUUGGCCCAGGCCAAGAUUGAGAAGAUCAAGGGCAGCAAGAAGGCCAUCAAGGUGUUCUCCAGUGCCAAGUACCCUGCUCCAGGGCGCCUGCAGGAAUAUGGCUCCAUCUUCACGGGCGCCCAGGACCCUGGCCUGCAGAGACGCCCCCGCACAGGAUCCAGAGCAAGCACCGCCCCCUGGACGAGCGGGCCCUGCAGGAGAAGCUGAAGGACUUUCCUGUGUGCGUGAGCACCAAGCCGGAGCCCGAGGACGAUGCAGAAGAGGGACUUGGGGGUCUUCCCAGCAACAUCAGCUCUGUCAGCUCCUUGCUGCUCUUCAACACCACCGAGAACCUGUAUGGCCAGAGGGCAGGGCCGAGGGGUGUGGGCGGGAGGCCCGGCCUGGCUUAGUGGGGACCCAGGUCAUCAGACACAGGUACAGCACAUAGGCCAGGAGCCAGGGGGUGACUGGGGUGGCUCGGCUCGGGAGGCCUGGGACCCCACAGUGCACGCUGUGCCCCUGAUGAUGUGGGAGAGGAACAUGGGCUCAGGACAGCGGGUGUCAGCUUGCCUGACCCCCAUGUCGCCUCUGUAGGUAGAAGAAGUAUGUCUUCCUGGACCCCCUGGCUGGUGCUGUAACAAAGACCCAUGUGAUGCUGGGGGCAGAGACAGAGGAGAAGCUGUUUGAUGCCCCCUUGUCCAUCAGCAAGAGAGAGCAGCUGGAACAGCAGGUCCCAGAGAACUACUUCUAUGUGCCAGACCUGGGCCAGGUGCCUGAGAUUGAUGUUCCAUCCUACCUGCCUGACCUGUCCGGCAUUGCCAACGACCUCAUGUACAUUGCCGACCUGGGCCCCGGCAUUGCCCCCUCUGCCCCUGGCACCAUUCCAGAACUGCCCACCUUCCACACUGAGACCUACAAGAUGGGGUACUAACACCACCCCCACCGCCCCCACCACCACCCCCAGCUCCUGAGGUGCUGGCCAGUGCACCCCCACUCCCACCCUCAACCGCGGCCCCUGUAGGCCAAGGCGCCAGGCAGGACGACAGCAGCAGCAGCGCGUCUCCUUCAGUCCAGGGAGCUCCCAGGGAAGUGGUCGACCCCUCCGGUGGCCGGGCCACUCUGCUAGAGUCCAUCCGCCAAGCUGGGGGCAUCGGCAAGGCCAAGCUGCGCAGCAUGAAGGAGCGAAAGCUGGAGAAGAAGAAGCAGAAGGAGCAGGAGCAAGUGAGAGCCACGAGCCAAGGUGGGCACUUGAUGUCGGAUCUCUUCAACAAGCUGGUCAUGAGGCGCAAGGGCAUCUCUGGGAAAGGACCUGGGGCUGGUGAGGGGCCCGGAGGAGCCUUUGCCCGCGUGUCAGACUCCAUCCCUCCUCUGCCGCCACCGCAGCAGCCACAGGCAGAGGAGGACGAGGACGACUGGGAAUCCUAGGGGGCUCCAUGACACCUUCCCCCCCAGACCCAGACUUGGGCCGUUGCUCUGACAUGGACACAGCCAGGACAAGCUGCUCAGACCUACUUCCUUGGGAGGGGGUGACGGAACCAGCACUGUGUGGAGACCAGCUUCAAGGAGCGGAAGGCUGGCUUGAGGCCACACAGCUGGG